AAAAGAAAUUAUCAACAGAAUAAACAGCCUGCAGAAUGGGAGAAAAUAUUUGCAAACUACGCAUUCAACGAAGGUCUACUAUCCAGAAUCAUAAGGAACUUAAACAAAUUUACAAUCACAAAAUGAACAACCCCA